rnacentral:tRNA from 1 species
GCUGCCGUAGCUCAGUGGUAGAGCACUCCAUUGGUAACUAUUGCCCAUCCGGUUGGAAACGAUCGGAAUCGUAACCGCUCAAAUUCGGGGAAACCGUCCAGGUAACUGACGGCAAUCCCGAGCCAAGCCCGGGUUUACAUUCGGGAAGGUGUAGAGGCCAGACGGGCGGCACCUAAAGGUCUCUUAAGACCUACGGUGAAGGGAUGGUCCAGCACACAAACGCCGCGAGGCGGGUGCGAAAGCAUCAGUGUGAUGAAUGGAGAGGUCGACAGUUCAAUCCUGUCUGGCAGCACCA